rnacentral:rRNA from 1 species
UGGGGAAUACUGCACAAUGGGCGCAAGCCUGAUGCAGCCAUGCCGCGUGUAUGAAGAAGGCCUUCGGGUUGUAAAGUACUUUCAGCGGGGAGGAAGGCGAUAAGGUUAAUAACCUUGUCGAUUGACGUUACCCGCAGAAGAAGCACCGGCUAACUCCGUGCCAGCAGCCGCGGUAAUACGGAGGGUGCAAGCGUUAAUCGGAAUUACUGGGCGUAAAGCGCACGCAGGCGGUCUGUCAAGUCGGAUGUGAAAUCCCCGGGCUCAACCUGGGAACUGCAUUCGAAACUGGCAGGCUAGAGUCUUGUAGAGGGGGGUAGAAUUCCAGGUGUAGCGGUGAAAUGCGUAGAGAUCUGGAGGAAUACCGGUGGCGAAGGCGGCCCCCUGGACAAAGACUGACGCUCAGGUGCGAAAGCGUGGGGAGCAAACA